UACGGAGGGAGCUAGCGUUGUUCGGAAUUACUGGGCGUAAAGCGCACGUAGGCGGCUAUUCAAGUCAGAGGUGAAAGCCCGGGGCUCAACCCCGGAACUGCCUUUGAAACUAGGUAGCUAGAAUCUUGGAGAGCUCAGUGGAAUUCCGAGUGUAGAGGUGAAAUUCGUAGAUAUUCGGAAGAACACCAGUGGCGAAGGCGACUGACUGGACAAGUAUUGACGCUGAGGUGCGAAAGCGUGGGGAGCAAACAGG
rnacentral:rRNA from 1 species